rnacentral:rRNA from 1 species
AGAUGAGCCUUAGUUCGGAUUAGNUAGUUGGUGGGUAAUGGUUCACCAAGGCGACGAUCCGUAACUGGUCUGAGAGGAUGAUCAGUCACACUGGAACUGAGACACGGUCCAGACUCCUACGGGAGGCAGCAGUGGGGAAUAUUGGACAAUGGGCGAAAGCCUGAUCCAGCCAUGCCGCGUGUGUGAAGAAGGUCUUCGGAUUGUAAAGCACUUUAAGUUGGGAGGAAGGGUUGUAGAUUAAUACUCUGCAAUUUUGACGUUACCGACAGAAUAAGCAC